rnacentral:rRNA from 1 species
UACGAAGGGGGCUAGCGUUGUUCGGAAUUACUGGGCGUAAAGGGCGCGUAGGCGGUACUUCAAGUCAGGCGUGAAAGCCCCGGGCUCAACCUGGGAACCGCGCUUGAGACUGGCACGCUAGAGUUCGGGAGAGGAUGGUGGAAUUCCCAGUGUAGAGGUGAAAUUCGUAGAUAUUGGGAAGAACACCGAUGGCGAAGGCAGCCAUCUGGACCGACACUGACGCUGAGGCGCGAAAGCGUGGGGAGCAAACAGG